rnacentral:rRNA from 1 species
AUACGGAGGGUGCAAACGUUGUUCGGAAUCACUGGGCGUAAAGGGCGCGCAGGCGGUGUGAUUAGUCAGAUGUGAAAGCCCACGGCUUAACCGUGGAAGUGCAUUUGAAACUGUCAGACUUGAGUACCAGAGGGGGUAGUGGAAUUCCCGGUGUAGAGGUGAAAUUCGUAGAUAUCGGGAGGAAUACCGGUGGCGAAGGCGACUACCUGGCUGGAUACUGACGCUGAGGCGCGAAAGCGUGGGGAGCAAACAGGAUUAGAUACCCCAGUAGUCC